rnacentral:rRNA from 1 species
GAUGAACGCUGGCGGCGUGCUUAACACAUGCAAGUCGAACGGAAAGGCCCUGCUUUUGUGGGGUUCUCGAGUGGCGCACGGGUGAGUAACACGUGAGUAUCCCGCACUUGACUUUGUGAUAACUUCACGAAACUGCGGCUCAUACCGCAUAGGAGAUCUUGCUCCAUGGUGGUCGUUGGAAAGUUUCGGCGGUUGGGGAUGGAUUCGCGGCUUAUGAGCUUGUUGGUGGGGUAGUGGCGUACCAAGGCUUUGACGGGUAGCCUGCCUGAGAGGGGGACCAGGCACAAGGGGACUGAGGGACGGCGCAGACUGGUACGGGAGGCAGUAGGGGAAAGUAUGACACAAUGGGGGGGAGCGUGAUGCAGAGGUGUCGCGUGCGGAAAGCCGGCUUUCGGGUGAUAAACCGCUGUCGCCUGAGACGAAGCGGGAGUGACGGUAACUGGUAAAGAAGCACCGGCUAACUACGUG